AACAGCUACUUAAGAGCUAUGUCCCCCUUGUUCCCUUCACUCUUCCCUUGUGUGACUGAGACACUGUGAUUUAAUCUGGACCAACCCUGUGUAGAGGAGACAGUUGCAGUAUCAAUACCUGGUUGCAAAGCAUUGCAGAGAAAGACAACAACCUGGUACCUACUGGCAAGCCUGCCUGAGAGGAUGAUGUAGAUGAGGAGGACAUGCAGGACAUGGAUGAAAUGAAUGAUUAUAAUGAUUCACUUGAUGAUGGAGAGGUUAAUGAGGUGGAUAUGGAAGGCAACCAACAGGAUCAGACCAGUGAGUG
rnacentral:lncRNA from 1 species